rnacentral:rRNA from 1 species
UGGGGAAUAUUGCACAAUGGGCGAAAGCCUGAUGCAGCGACGCCGCGUGAAGGAUGAAGUAUUUCGGUAUGUAAACUUCUAUCAGCAGGGAAGAAAAUGACGGUACCUGACUAAGAAGCCCCGGCUAACUACGUGCCAGCAGCCGCGGUAAUACGUAGGGGGCAAGCGUUAUCCGGAUUUACUGGGUGUAAAGGGAGCGUAGACGGCGAUGCAAGCCAGAUGUGAAAGCCCGGGGCUCAACCCCGGGACUGCAUUUGGAACUGUGUGGCUGGAGUGUCGGAGAGGCAAGUGGAAUUCCUAGUGUAGCGGUGAAAUGCGUAGAUAUUAGGAGGAACACCAGUGGCGAAGGCGGCUUGCUGGACGAUGACUGACGUUGAGGCUCGAAAGCGUGGGGAGCAAACAGG